UACGUAGGGUGCGAGCGUUGUCCGGAAUUAUUGGGCGUAAAGAGCUCGUAGGCGGCUUGUCGCGUCGGAUGUGAAAGCCCGGGGCUUAACUCCGGGUCUGCAUUCGAUACGGGCAGGCUAGAGUUCGGUAGGGGAGACUGGAAUUCCUGGUGUAGCGGUGAAAUGCGCAGAUAUCAGGAGGAACACCGGUGGCGAAGGCGGGUCUCUGGGCCUUACCUGACGCUGAGGAGCGAAAGCAUGGGGAGCGAACAGG
rnacentral:rRNA from 1 species